rnacentral:rRNA from 1 species
AUGACCUUGGGGACGUACCGGGCUCGGUCUGCAUACGAGUUGAAGCCUAGGAGGGGAAUCAACAAGUACACACCUGAAGACUUCACCCAAAGAGGCAAAAGGACGGUCGGCACCUCGCGGAUGGCGGCUUUGGAUGACUAUUUGGAUGACGAUGUCAAACCGGUGGCGGAGCCGGAGCCGGAGCGGGUUCCUCUUCCUAGGAAGGUGAAGAAGAUAAGCGUCAAGAGGGGGGAGGACCCAGCAAGCGUGGAAAGCACUAGUCAUCUUAGUUUUUUUAUAAUGUUGAACUUCGAGUGCGAUUUGUUAUGUCGUUGA